rnacentral:rRNA from 1 species
CUUGACUGCCGGAGGAACAUUA